UAAUAAAUGUUCCUUUGCAUUUUGUUUGUUUCGGGGUCGAUGUGACAAAAAGGCAAAGAUGGGGCAUGGUUGACAACACUUUUCAGGCGGAGUCUUAGUGAUGGAGUCGACAAUGGAAGUUGGCUCGAUGGUUGUUUCGUGGCAACAUGAAUGAGAAUGUAUAGUGCUUUGCGGAUUGUAAAGUAACUAUUGUAUUUACCUAAUGUUGUGAUUGUUCUAUGAUAAUUAAAUUAUCUCA